GGGAUCUUAGCUCAGUUGGUAGAGCACCUGCUUUGCACGCAGGGGGUCAGGAGUUCGACUCUCCUAGGUUCCA
rfam:Monoraphidium neglectum strain SAG 48.87 chloroplast CP, complete sequence, whole genome shotgun sequence.